rnacentral:ribozyme from 13 species
GAAACAAUGCAAAAGAAGACGUCAUACUAGUAUCUUCCUUCUUUUCCUCUGUUGUUGUUGACUUGGAUCUUUCAUCGUUGUUGUCUUCUACCU